rnacentral:ncRNA from 1 species
GAAAAUGCAUGGAACGGAAAGAGUAUGCAGAUAGACGGCGCCAGAGAGGGAAUGCCAUUGGCUGAGAACAGUCCCCGCAGGUCUGUGCAGAAAGUGCAUCCGGGAGCAGAUUCUGCGAAGCCGACGGCAUGAGCAGAGUACGAAUUGCGCACGUUACGCGCCUGAGGGCAGGAUUUGGAAUCCUGAAACAGAGUGGAACCGCGGAAUUUUUCGUCUCUAGG